AGAGUUUGAUCCUGGCUCAGGAUGAACGCUGGCGGCGUGCUUAACACACGCAAGUCGAACGAGCGAGAGAGAGCUUGCUUUCUCGAGCGAGUGGCGAACGGGUGAGUAACGCGUGAGGAACCUGCCUCAAAGAGGGGGACAACAGUUGGAAACGACUGCUAAUACCGCAUAAGCCCACGGUGCCGCAUGGCACAGAGGGAAAAGGAGCAAUCCGCUUUGAGAUGGCCUCGCGUCCGAUUAGCUAGUUGGUGAGGUAACGGCCCACCAAGGCGACGAUCGGUAGCCGGACUGAGAGGUUGAACGGCCACAUUGGGACUGAGACACGGCCCAGACUCCUACGGGAGGCAGCAGUGGGGAAUAUUGCACAAUGGGGGAAACCCUGAUGCAGCGACGCCGCGUGGAGGAAGAAGGUCUUCGGAUUGUAAACUCCUGUUGUUGGGGAAGAUAAUGACGGUACCCAACAAGGAAGUGACGGCUAACUACGUGCCAGCAGCCGCGGUAAAACGUAGGUCACAAGCGUUGUCCGGAAUUACUGGGUGUAAAGGGAGCGCAGGCGGGAAGACAAGUUGGAAGUGAAAUCUAUGGGCUCAACCCAUAAACUGCUUUCAAAACUGUUUUUCUUGAGUAGUGCAGAGGUAGGCGGAAUUCCCGGUGUAGCGGUGGAAUGCGUAGAUAUCGGGAAGAACACCGAUGGCGAAGGCAGCCUGCUGGGCCGCCACUGACGCUGAGGCGCGAAAGCUGGGGGAGCGAACAGGAUUAGAUACCCUGGUAGUCCCAGCCGUAAACGAUGGACGCUAGGUGUGGGGGGACCAUCCCCCCGUGCCGCAGCCAACGCAUUAAGCGUCCCGCCUGGGGAGUACGGCCGCAAGGCUAAAACUCAAAGGAAUUGACGGGGGCCCGCACAAGCAGCGGAGCAUGUGGCUUAAUUCGAAGCAACGCGAAGAACCUUACCAAGUCUUGACAUCCCACUGACCGGACAGUAAUGUGUCCUUCCCUUCGGGGCAGUGGAGACAGGUGGUGCAUGGUUGUCGUCAGCUCGUGUCGUGAGAUGUUGGGUUAAGUCCCGCAACGAGCGCAACCCUUAUCCUUAGUAGCCAGCAUUUCAGGUGGGCACUCUAGGGAGACUGCCAGGGAUAACCUGGAGGAAGGUGGGGAUGACGUCAAAUCAUCAUGCCCCUUAUGACUUGGGCUACACACGUGCUACAAUGGCGUAAACAAAGUGAAGCGAGAGUGUGAGCUUAAGCAAAUCCCAAAAAUAACGUCCCAGUUCGGACUGUAGUCUGCAACCCGACUACACGAAGCUGGAAUCGCUAGUAAUCGCGGAUCAGAAUGCCGCGGUGAAUACGUUCCCGGGUCUUGCACUCACCGCCCGUCA
rnacentral:rRNA from 1 species